UUCUGGUUGAUCCUGCCGGCGGGCACCGCUAUUGGAGUUCGCUUAAGCCAUGCGAGUCGAGAGGGGUAAGCCCUCGGCGCACUGCUCAGUAACACGCGGACAAUCUGCCCUCGAGACGGGGAUAAUCCCGGGAAACUGGGAAUAAUACCCGAUAGGUCUGGGAUGAUGGAAGGCUCCCUGGCCAAAAUCUUCCGGGGCUCGAGGAUGGGUCUGCGGCCUAUCAGGUCGUAGGGGGUUUUACGGACCCCCUAGCCGAAGACGGGUACGGGCUUUGGGAGAAGUCGCCCGGAGAUGGAUUCUGAGACACGAAUCCAGGUCCUACGGGACGCAGCAGGCGCGAAACCUCCACAAUGUGGGCAACCACGAUGGGGGAACUCCAAGUGCUUACACUUUUGUGUAAGCUGUUCUCGAGCCUAAAAAGCUCGAGAAGUAAGGGCCGGGUAAGACGGGUGCCAGCCGCCGCGGGUAAUACCCGCGGCCCGAGUGGUGCUCAUUAUUAUUGAGCCUAAAGCGUCCGUAGCUGGCCGGGCAAAUUUCGGGUAAAUCGG
rnacentral:rRNA from 1 species